rnacentral:rRNA from 1 species
UUUGUAGAAUGAACCGGCGAGUUACGAUUUGUUGCAAGGUUAAGCGGAAAAAGCGGAGCCGUAGCGAAAGCGAGUCUGAAUAGGGCGCAUAAGUAACAGGUCGUAGACCCGAAACCAGGUGAUCUACCCAUGUCCAGGAUGAAGGUAAGGUAAUACUUACUGGAGGUCCGAACCCACGCACGUUGAAAAGUGCGGGGAUGAGGUGUGGGUAGCGGAGAAAUUCCAAUCGAACUUGGAGAUAGCUGGUUCUCUCCGAAAUAGCUU